GAUGAACGCUGGCGGCGUGCCUAAUACAUGCAAGUCGAACGAAACUUCUUUAUCACCGAGUGCUUGCACUCACCGAUAAAGAGUUGAGUGGCGAACGGGUGAGUAACACGUGGGCAACCUGCCCAAAAGAGGGGGAUAACACUUGGAAACAGGUGCUAAUACCGCAUAACCAUAGUUACCGCAUGGUAACUAUGUAAAAGGUGGCUAUACUACCGCUUUUGGAUGGGCCCGCGGCGCAUUAGCUAGUUGGUAGGGUAAAGGCUUACCAAGGCAAUGAUGCGUAGCCGAAUUGAGAGGUUGAUCGGCCACAUUGGGACUGAGACACGGCCCAAACUCCUACGGGAGGCAGCAGUAGGGAAUCUUCCACAAUGGGCGAAAGCCUGAUGGAGCAACGCCGCGCGGGUGAAGAAGGUCUUCGGAUCGUAAAACCCUGUUGUUAGAGAAGAAAGUGCGUGAGAGUAACUGUUCACGUUUCGACGGUAUCUAACCGGAAAGCCACGGCUAACUACGUG
rnacentral:rRNA from 1 species